rnacentral:rRNA from 1 species
GACGAACGCUGGCGGCGUGCCUAAUACAUGCAAGUCGAGCGAAGCGGCGGAUGGGUGAGUAACGCGUGGGUAAUCUGCCCUUAAGUCUGGGAUACCAUUUGGAAACAGAUGCUAAUACCGGAUAUUAAAGGAUGGACCUGGGAUGCAUUAGCUAGUUGGUAAGGUAACGGCUUACAAGGGCGAUGAUGCGUAGCUGGGUUGAGAGACUGAUCGGUCACACUGGCACUGAGACACGGCCCAGACUCCUACGGGAGGCAGCAGUAGGGAAUAUUCCACAAUGGGCGAAAGUCUGAUGGAGCCACGCCGCGUGAGUGAAGAAGGUUUUCGGAUCGUAAAGCUCUGUUGUUGGUGAAGCGGUAAUCACCCAGUAAGUCACGGCUAACUACGUGCCAGCAGCCGCGGUAAUUC